rnacentral:tRNA from 3 species
UCCUUGAUGGUCUAGUGGUUAUGAUUUCCGCUUGUCACGCGGGAGACCAGGGUUCGAUUCCCUGUCAGGGAG